AGUGAACGCUGGCGGUAGGCCUAACACAUGCAAGUCGAACGGCAGCACAGUAAGAGCUUGCUCUUACGGGUGGCGAGUGGCGGACGGGUGAGGAAUACAUCGGAAUCUACUUUUUCGUGGGGGAUAACGUAGGGAAACUUACGCUAAUACCGCAUACGACCUACGGGUGAAAGAAGGGGAUCUUCGGACUUUGCGCGAUUGAAUGAGCCGGUGUCGGAUUAGCUAGUUGGCGGGGUAAAGGCCCACCAAGGCGACGAUCCGUAGCUGGUCUGAGAGGAUGAUCAGCCACACUGGAACUGAGACACGGUCCAGACUCCUACGGGAGGCAGCAGUGGGGAAUAUUGGACAAUGGGCGCAAGCCUGAUCCAGCCAUACCGCGUGGGUGAAGAAGGCCUUCGGGUUGUAAAGCCCUUUUGUUGGGAAAGAAAAGCAGCAGGUUAAUACCCCGCUGUUCUGACGUUACCCAAAGAAUAAGCACCGGCUAACUUCGUG
rnacentral:rRNA from 1 species